CAGACAGCCCUGGAGAGUGAAGGCUCCUAUUUAUUCACAGAACAAAUACAGCAGCAACUCAAGAUUCCCAACGCUUCCCUGCCAAUGUCCUUCUUCCUUGUCCUAGAGGGACCCCCUAUUGGGCUAAAAGGGGAAUUUACUUUCCCAUCCAGUUCUUUGCCUCUGCUGAC
rnacentral:sRNA from 1 species